rnacentral:misc_RNA from 1 species
CUGGAAGCGUCUCACGGCGCACCCAGAAACCCUAUGUGAACCUAUACCUCUCUGUUGCCUCGGCGCUGGCUGGGAGCUUCUAUAAACUCCCCCUCUGCGGAAGGGUGGCGGUCCUCACGGGCCGCCCCCCAAGCCGAGGAGCAGGCCCGCCGGCGGCCCUUUAAACUCUUGUUUUAAACGUAUCUCUUCUGAGUACAAAUUAUAAAUGAAUCA